rnacentral:snRNA from 1 species
AGUUUUCCCGCCAAAACCGU